UCUGCCUCUAUCACGGGGAUAACUACUGGAAACGGUGGCUAAUACCCGAUGUUGCAACUUGUUGUAAAAGUCUUCGGACGGAUAGAGAUGAGUCUGCGUCUGAUUAGCUUGUUGGUAAGGUAACGGCUUACCAAGGCGAUGAUCAGUAACUGGUCUGAGAGGACGAUCAGUCACACUGGAACUGAGACACGGUCCAGACUCCUACGGGAGGCAGCAGUGAGGAAUAUUGGUCAAUGGGGGCAACCCUGAACCAGCGACGCCGCGUGAGGGAUGACGGGGCUUUGCCUUGUAAACCUCUGUCAGAAGGGAAAAGAAGGUUGUUUGGCGACCUGGGCUUGUACCUUCGGAGGAAGCACCGGCUAACUACGUGCCAGCAGCCGCGGUAAUACGUAGGGUGCAAACGUUGUCCGGAAUUACCGGGUGUAAAGGGUGCACAGGCGGUUUUGUGCGUCAGAGGUUAAAUGCCACGGCUCAACUGUGGACCUGCCUUUGAUACGGCAAGACUUGAGUGGAAGAGAGGAUGAUAGAACUCCUGGUGUAGCGGUGAAAUGCGUAAAUAUCAGGAAGAAUACCAUUUGCGAAGGCGGUCAUUCGGCUUUCAACUGACGCUUAAGCACGAAAGCGUGGGUAGCGAACAGGAUUAGAUACCCUGGUAGUCCACGCCCUAAACGAUGCAUGCUU
rnacentral:rRNA from 1 species